GAUGAACGCUGGCGGCGUGCCUAAUACAUGCAAGUCGAGCGCAUGGAUUAAGAGCUUGCUCUUAUGAAGUUAGCGGCGGACGGGUGAGUACCACGUGGCAAACCUGCCCAUAAGACUGGGAAAACUCAGGGAAACCGGGGCGAAGACCGGAUAACAUUUUGAACCGCAUGGUUCGUAAUUGAAAGGCGGCUUCGCAUGUCAAUUUUGCAUGGAUCCGCGUCGCAUUAGGUGGUUGGUGAGGUAACGGCUCACCACGGCAAAGAUGCGUAGCCGACCUGAGAAGGUGAUCGGGCACACUGGGACUGAGACACGGCCCAGACUCCUACGGGAGGCAGAAGUAGGGAAUCUUCCGCAAUGGACGAAAGUCUGACGGAGCAACGCCGCGUGAGUGAUGAAGGCUUUCGGGUCGUAAAACUCUGUUGUUAGGGAAGAACAAGUGCUAGUUGAAUAAGCUGGCACCUUGACGGUACCUAACCAGAAAGCCACGGCUAACUACGUGCCAGCCGCCGCCGUAA
rnacentral:rRNA from 1 species